UGUUUGAGGAGAUCCAUGAGGGAUGAAGAGCUUUGGUAUCUUCAUGCUGAGAAGGAAGUGCUAGCUAGUUGGUUUGACCUUGGAGGGUUUUAUUCCCUGUGGAGACYUCUCCUGCUCUGAGGACAGUCGAGCUGCUGGUAGCACUGCAGAGAGCAAAGACUGUCUACAAAGAGCAAAGACAUCAAUACUUGUGUGAAUAUAUGUACCCACCUGAAUGUAUAUGCCAGAACUAUUGAUGGGAUUUCUUCAUGUCCAGGAAAAUUCAAUUGAAACAGUUCUGUGAGCCUCUGAUCUGCAGUUUUCACUASUGUGAUAAAUUAUGAAUUCUGCGGGAGUCUCUGUGGUCAUUUGGCAUAUCAGCAGAUUGUGAAAAGAAAUGGUAYCUUUGAGAGGAGCUAUGAUUUUGAUACAAAUUGUAUUAUAAUGAAGAAAYUUAUUCCCUCCUUAAUCUAUUCGUUAAUGUUAAAAUGCAGAGAAAUGUCYUGAAAGCAGAGAGAAGCCUGCUGUAAGGAGCUGUCAGAGGGGUGGUAGCGCAUGGUGCCUGGAGAGAUGGAGACUGUGUGGUCCAGCAUCUCUGGAAGAUGAGAAUAGAGAAACCGUACAGAGAACAGGCUCAUAAGAAUUUCAAAGCUCCUGUGGAGAUAUGCUCUAAAAUAUUCCUUUUGAAGACCUGGAACUGAACCCGAAGCCUGCUCAGGCCCUUUAGAGCACAGGGAGGUUGCAUUCAUUUUGAAACACCUCCCUUUAGUGCCCCUGAGCUUCUGACCGAGCUUCUGUUUCUCCCGCUUAGUCCUUUUUCUU